UGACCGCGUAUGAAAGUACGUUUCACCUCGGGUGGACAGGGAGACAGGUGGUGCAUGGUUGUCGUCAGCUCGUGUCGUGAGAUGUUGGGUUAAGUCCCGCAACGAGCGCAACCCCUACGUUUAGUUGCUAACGCGUGAAGGCGAGCACUCUAGACGAACUGCCGUUGACAAAACGGAGGAAGGUGGGGAUGACGUCAAAUCAUCAUGCCCCUUAUGUUCUGGGCUACACACGUGCUACAAUGGCCGGUACAGACGGACGCAAAGCCGCGAGGUGGAGCAAAUCCUAAAAAGCCGGUCUCAGUUCGGAUUGCAGGCUGCAAUUCGCCUGCAUGAAGUCGGAAUCGCUAGUAAUCGCAGGUCAGCAUACUGCGGUGAAUACGUUCCCGGGCCUU
rnacentral:rRNA from 1 species